AUGACUACAGGAUCAUCGGUCUACUCUACCUCAAUUCACCAUUUCGAACUUUAUACAGAAGGUUUUUCCGUACCAGCUCCUUCUACCUAUACCUCAGUUGAAGCACCUAAAGGAGAAUUUGGUGUCUUUCUGGUCAGUAAUGGAAGCAAUCGUCCCUACCGUCGUAAAAUAAGAGCACCUGGCUCUGCCUAUUCACAAGGACUCGGCAUUACCCCGGUAAAAUUCAUUUAA